GCCAGGCGUGGUGGCACGCACCUCUAGUCCCAGUUACUCGAGAUGCUGAGGUAGAAGGGUUAUUUCAGCCCAGAAGUUCUGGACUGUAGUGUGCUACGCUGAUCGGGUGUCCACAUUAAGUUCAGCAUCAAUAUGGUAACCUUCCAGGAGUGCGGGACUACCAGCUUGCCUAAGGAGGGGUGAACCAGCCCAGGUCAGAAAUGGAGCAGGUCUGAGGUGGCAUUUUGUUCUCUAAUUUUCAAAGCGGUACUAGUUAUCCAAAAAAAUUUGGAAUACAUAUAGAGAAACACACUUU
ensembl:misc_RNA Metazoa_SRP Metazoan signal recognition particle RNA